AUUGAACGCUGGCGGCAGGCCUAACACAUGCAAGUCGAGCGGAGCGGCGGACGGGUGAGUAAUGCCUAGGAAUCUGCCUGGUAGUGGGGGAUAACGUCAGGAAACGGGCGCUAAUACCGCAUACUAUCAGAUGAGCCUAGGUCGGAUUAGCUAGUUGGUGGGGUAAAGGCCUACCAAGGCGACGAUCCGUAACUGGUCUGAGCGGAUGAUCAGUCACACUGGAACUGAGACACGGUCCAGACUCCGACGGGAGGCAGCAGUGGGAAAUCUUGGACAAUGGGCGAAAGCCUGAUCCAGCCAUGCCGCGUGUAUGAAGAAGGCCUUAGGGUUGUAAAGUACUUUCAGCGGGGAGGCGUUACCCGCAGAAGAAGCACCGGCUAACUCCGUGCCAGCAGCCGCGGUAAUUC
rnacentral:rRNA from 1 species